AGGACGAACGCUGGCGGCGUGCUUAACACAUGCAAGUCGUGGGCACCUCGCAAGAGGUGACCGGCGAACGGGUGCGUAACACGUGAGCGACCUACCGAUGCGCGGGGGAUAGCCGGCCCAACGGCCGGGUAAUACCGCAUACGCCACUCGGGCCGCAUGGCCUGAUUGGGAAACCUCCGGGGCGGAUCGAGGGGCUCGCGGCCUAUCAGCUAGUUGGCGGGGUAACGGCCCACCAAGGCGACGACGGGUAGCUGGUCUGAGAGGAUGGCCAGCCACAUUGGGACUGAGAAACGGCCCAGACUCCUACGGGAGGCAGCAGUGGGGAAUAUUGCGCAAUGGCCGCAAGGCUGACGCAGCGACGCCGCGUGUGGGAUGACGCCCUUCGGGGUGUAAACCACUGUUGCCCGGGACGAACGAGGGGAUUUAUCCCCUGUGACGGUACCGGGUGAGGAGCACCGGCUAACUCCGCGCCAGCAGCCGC
rnacentral:rRNA from 1 species